UACAGAGGGGGCAAGCGUUGUUCGGAGUUACUGGGCGUAAAGGGCUCGUAGGCGGCCAACUAAGUCAGACGUGAAAUCCCUCGGCUUAACCGGGGAACUGCGUCUGAUACUGGAUGGCUUGAGUUUGGGAGAGGGAUGCGGAAUUCCAGGUGUAGCGGUGAAAUGCGUAGAUAUCUGGAGGAACACCGGUGGCGAAGGCGGCAUCCUGGACCAACACUGACGCUGAGUGAGCGAAAGCCAGGGGAGCAAACGGG
rnacentral:rRNA from 1 species